AUAUAUCCAAAUGCAAUCGAUUUCACCAACGGCGUGUUUCGUUGUUAUUAAUCAUAAUCAUAAUAUACAUAAAUCAUAAGACUCAAUUGUUAACGAAUCAUUCUACCGGUGGUUUAGCUGUAAAACCUUCAACGCUCGUAGUUUGUUUAGUUGAUCUGUUUCUUUGCUUCAGCCGACCUCACGCUUAUCCGACUAUUUAAAUUACCAGGCAUCCAGUUGAUCCUACUACCCAGCUCUCGCCCACUUAACGAACUUACGGACGUUUACGAGAGUCGCACACGUAGCACAAGAAGAACGUCUGCCGACAACCAUGUCUUUUAACUUCCCGGCGUGCACCUACAUCGUGGCCAUGAUAUCUGACGCUUUUCUGUUGUUCUUCUCGGUGUUUCAUGUUAUUGCGUUUGAUGAACUGAAAAAUGACAGCAAGAAUCCUAUUGAUCAAUGUAACAGCUUAAAUCCAUUAGUGAUUCCAGAGUAUAUUUUACAUUUCUUCUCCAAUUUGUUGUUUUUGUUUGGAGGCCAGUGGUUAUCCAUUGCUAUAAAUGUUCCAUUAAUGGCUUAUCAUAUUUCAAAAUAUCGAAAUAGGCCCGCUAUGUCUGGUUUUGGCCUCUAUGAUCCGACGAGUAUUAUGAAUGCUGAUAAAUUAAAUAAAUAUCAACGUGAAGGUUGGAUAAAAUUGACAUUUUAUUUGUUUUCAUUUUUUUACUACUUAUAUGGAAUGAUAAGAGCAUUAAUCACAGUGUAAACCUAUGAUGCUUUGAACAUUCACCUUGUACAACUAUAAUAGUCAAAAGUUAUACUUAAUAAUGGGCAAUUGGUACAAACAUCAAUGGAUUGAAAAAUCCAACAAUUUUUAAUUAUUUCAGUAAAUAUGUAUGUUACUGGCAAUCUGGAAUGUUGGAACUGUCAAUAAAAUAAUUAACAAUUAAGUUAAUUGUAUUAAACAUGAUAAACUUUAUUAUAUUUAAUAGAUUACUAAAAUUGUAAUACUUCAAUAAUAAUUGUAAGAAAGACGAUGUAAUUUUAAUUAACUAAUUAUUUCAUCAUAAUUAAAUUUACUAAGUAUUAUUCAUUUUUUAUAUCAAUAAUAAAUUAUGAUAACAUUUAGAUUCAUUUUAAAAAUUAAAACGCUUAUUUUUUAAAUAAAAACUACAUUUAAUAAAUACACAUAUAAUUACAUUCUUACACUUAAUAAUUAGAAAUAUUGUAUAAGGUAUCAUGAACUUAAGACUCUACUCUACUGUAAAAAUCAAACAAAAAUAUACCUACUAUUAGACUAUGGUCAGCUGACGAAAUAUUUGAACAACUAAUUCAAAUAAAUUGUGAUUUUAAACUAGACCAAAGCUAUUACUUUACUGAUACUAUAAAUUGUUCAACAUGUUCAAAUCAAAUUAUGUCCAAUACAAUUAAUUGAAAUUAA